GACGAACGCUGGCGGCGUGCUUAACACAUGCAAGUCGAACGGAAAGGCCCUGCUUUUGUGGGGUGCUCGAGUGGCGAACGGGUGAGUAACACGUGAGUAACCUGCCCUUGACUUUGGGAUAACUUCAGGAAACUGGGGCUAAUACCGGAUAGGAGCUCCUGCUGCAUGGUGGGGGUUGGAAAGUUUCGGCGGUUGGGGAUGGACUCGCGGCUUAUCAGCUUGUUGGUGGGGUAGUGGCUUACCAAGGCUUUGACGGGUAGCCGGCCUGAGAGGGUGACCGGCCACAUUGGGACGGAGAUACGGCCCAGACUCCUACGGGGGGCAGGAGUGGGGAAUAUUGCACAAUGGGCGGAAGCCUGAUGCAGCAACGCCGCGUGCGGGAUGACGGCCUUCGGGUUGUAAACCGCUUUCGCCUGUGACGAAGCGUGAGUGACGGUAAUGGGUAAAGAAGCACCGGCUAACUACGU
rnacentral:rRNA from 1 species